rnacentral:rRNA from 1 species
AUUGAACGCUGGCGGCAGGCCUAACACAUGCAAGUCGAGCGGAGCGGCGGACGGGCGAGUAAUGCCUAGGAAUCUGCCUGGUAGUGGGGGAUAACGUCCGGCAACGGGCGCUAAUACCGCAUACUAUCAGAUGAGCCUAGGUCGGAUUCGCUAGUUGGUGGGGUAAAGGCCUACCAAGGCGACGAUACGUAACUGGUCCGAGAGGAUGAUCGGUCACAUGGGAACGGAGACACGGGCCAGACCCCUACGGGAGGCAGCAGUGGGGAAUAUUGGACAAUGGGCGAAAGCCUGAUGCAGCCAUGCCGCGGGUGUGAAGAAGGUCUUCGGAUUGUAAAGCACUUUAAGCUGGGAGGCGUUACCAGCAGAAUAAGCACCGGCUAACUUCGUGCCAGCAGCCGCGGUAAUUC